UUGACGAAGUAAUUGAAGAAAUUUGUUUGGAUGUUGCAAUUGCGAUUCGUGAUUGCUUGAAAAAUGCUUAUGAAAAUAUGUCAGACUUUGUGGGUAAUAUACAAGCAGUGAUGAAGAAAAAGAAGAUGUUUGUGGAAGAGUUGGAGAAACAAUUGUCUUACCUGAAAACUAGGUUGAAAUCAUAUUUGUAAAUGUGUAUAUACCAUCUCCAUCUAGAACCAACUCUAAUUAGGGAGGAAUCCGCGAUAAUAGUUUGGAAGAAAUUUUUUUAAUUAUUUGUAAUAUCACUGCGCUGUUGCCAAGUUCGUCGACGAAUGAGGAAUGAAUUUGGAAAUCUAAAAAUGAAACACUUACAAAUCCAUUCUAGAGUGUCCAUUUCUUCCAACUCCUCGUUAAAUACAUUUGCAGAACUAUCUAUAUUUACAACAUCCAGCUUAGAGGCUGUUAAGUAAAGAAUUUCUGUAACACGCCAAAUUGGGGGUGCCCAUAAAUGAAGUCUUGGAAAAACCCGUCCGCAUUACUGGAAAAGUUUUCACAAAAAUGGGCACCACGUCCUCAAAUAACAAAAUCGUCAACGACACAAGCACUGACAUCGGCAGCAUUUCUGUAUCAGGGUUGGAUGGCUUCGAUUGUGAAGAGUAAUCAUCCAAGCAGCAAACAACGAGACUUAUCCAUAAAUGCCAAAGAAUCAGUAGAACGCAUCGUAAACCUCUUCUCACAUGCAAGCCAUUGUCCUGUGACUGUCACGUUAACUUUCAAAGACGGAUCCGAAGACACUUUCCGCAUAGAUCUAAAAUAUUCUGUGGGAUGUUGCGCACGAUUCGACCAUAGCCAAAAAUCGUACAAAAUGUCAUACAGACUCGACAAUAAGAAGAUCAUUGAACGGUCGUAAACAAUGCCAAACAAAAGAAAAACGAAGAAGCUGACGAGUUGUUGAGGAAAGCUAGAGAGGCGAUGAGGCGACGGUUGCAUGACCAAGCUCUUGACCAUACUUAAGUUGUUAGGAAAAUUAGAAGUGAAGAAGGUGAGGUAUACAGUUCGAUUGGAGACAGUAUUUGCGCAGCAGGUUUAACUAUGGAGAGAGCAGAAAACUUACAAGCAGAGGAAGGCAAAUUUUCGAAAGCGAUGUCUUUCUUCUAAUGAUCGUUAGAAUCGGUGUAUAGUGGAGAGACCCAGCAGAAGAUACAUUUUUCCGAAUUGAAGAUAAGUGGAAACAGAAGUGUCACUGAAGCUAUGGGACUAAAAGAUGAAGCUUCUAAGAUGGUCCAGAACGAAGAAUAUGGAACGACCUUCGAUAAAUACGAGGUAACUUUGCGCAAACAUAAAGAAGCUAAAAGAAUAUACGUGGAAGACUCCUGAUUAAGAGAACAAUAUUUUUCUGAUCCUGUGAAACGUGUAGAACAGCAGAUUGAAGAAAUCAGUGCUGCAACAACAAUUACCAAGGAACGGAAACAGGAUCAAGAAGCUACAAAAUUGAUAGAAAUAGCCAAAACAGCAACCAAUCAACAUUGGUAUUAUCAUAGCCUUGACUAUCUUGCCGGGCUAAAACACUGACGAUCCAAAGUGAUGCAAUUAAAAUCAUUAAGAACGAAGAAUGUCAAGUCUAUUGUCUACUCGGAGAAACUUUAUACCAAGAAGGUAUGAGCCUGGAGAACGACGGAUCAUCAAAGAGGGCACAAAAAAAUUCGAUGAGGCAAAGUCUUGUUUUCAACUAUCUGUCAACUUGGACAUAUUUGGACAAGAGGCGGAAAGUCUCUUUCACAGAACUAUGUCUUGGGUCCAAGGAAAAGUUGGGUUGUUUCAAAACAAGCCUCAACAAAAUUUGCACAUCUCCGAACUGAAGAUCAGCGGAAAUAACAGCUUCUUUCAAGCGGCGAAGUUAAAAAACCAAGCCGUUGACAUGAUUAGAACUAGAAAUUAUCAAAUGGCUCUGAAUAAAUAUCCCGCCGCUUUGAGUAAAUAUCAAGAAGCUAAAAAAAAUCCGCGGAAGGUGCUAAGUAUCGAAAACAAGAUUUCUCGAAUUCUUUCACUUAUGAGCGAAAAAGAAGUGAAGACUUCAAACAGUUACGAAAGAGCAACGUAAGUAUGAUUUUGCUUUUAAAUGUCUUGAACGCGCUAGAAUCUUGGCAAAUCAAGUUAGUACAAUCGAAAUUAACAACGAAGAAAGCGACCCAGGCAACAUGAUGUCGUCUUUUUCACGUGAAUAAAUGGUCAUCAUUUACGUCAUAGUGACCAAAAAUUUCAUGUGAUGUUGACGUACCAAUGACGGUCAAAUGUCUCGUCUAAAUGACGUCAUUUUCUCACGAACUAUUGACGUGAUGUACUGACGUUUUAGAGUCGUCAUUUUGUAAAGAAUUAUUGACGUGAUUUACUGACGUCCUAGA